rnacentral:rRNA from 1 species
UACGUAGGGGGCUAGCGUUGUCCGGAUUUAUUGGGCGUAAAGAGCGUGUAGGCGGCCAUGUAGGUCCGGUGUGAAAACUCGAGGCUUAACCUCGAGAUGUCAUCGGAAACCAUUUGGCUAGAGUCCGGAAGAGGAGAGUGGAAUUCCUGGUGUAGCGGUGAAAUGCGCAGAUAUCGGGAAGAACACCCGUGGCGAAGGCGGCUCUCUGGGACGGUACUGACGCUGAGACGCGAAAGCGUGGGGAGCGAACAGG